rnacentral:lncRNA from 1 species
UAAAACAAAGGUCAUUUGAACCUAAAGAAGUGAAAUUACAUCAGCAUAGGAGUGUAUAACAUAAUAAGCAGCCAAGCUUCAUAAUUUUUUCAAUUUACAUAAAGAAGCAAAGUAAGGCAAUUCCUUAAUUUAUUAUGCCUGGUAAGCGAAACUAGUCUACAAUAGAAUGGACCGGAUAACAACAACAACAAAAACCUAGAAUUUUGGAAAAAACCACAUCCUUUUAGCAUUGUCCCUCAAACGAGACCAAAUCGCAUCCCCUAGACGACCAGACCACAUCUUAUCUCUUAGAUCGGCGAUUACCACAGACUCCCCUAAAGUCUCCCUCAAAUGCUGAAGAACAGAAACACUUACGAAAUGAUAUGAUGAAGAAAGCUAUAGGGUACCACCACCAAGUAAUCAAAAACUGGCAUUAAACUAAUUAAAAAAAGAAGGAAUAUAUGUAUACCUUUUGCGCCUCCUCCUCUGUCUUAGCUAAUAGCUACCGAAUCGCCAAUUAGAAGAGGACCUAUAGUUACAUCACAAUAUGAAAAGUCAAGUUUGUUGAGGUGUCGUACGUCGAGGCAAAAAGAUUGCCAAAAUUAAUUAAACACUCUCUAUAUAGUAUAUCACUUCAUGACUCAUGACCACCAAAUUAAUACCAUACGUACCCAUUAAGCCAUAUCCCACAUACACACCGAAAAGUUUCUUUCCUACAAUCAUGCUCAGCAACACACAAAACAAAAUAUCAAUAAACCAAUGAUCCAUCCACU